rnacentral:rRNA from 1 species
UACGAAGGAUCCUAGCGUUGUCCGGAUUUACUGGGUUUAAAGGGAGCGUAGGCGGACUUUUAAGUCAGUGGUGAAAGCUUGCGGCUUAACUGUAAAAUUGCCAUUGAAACUGAAAGUCUCGAGUGCGGUUGAGGUCACUGGAAUGUAUCAUGUAGCGGUGAAAUGCUUAGAUAUGAUACAGAACACCGAUUGCGAAGGCAGGUGACUAAACCGUAACUGACGCUGAGGCUCGAAAGCGUGGGGAGCAAACAGG